UGCUCCAUGGUUCAAUUGGUAGAACGGCGCACUGUUAAUGCGAAGGUUGCUGGUUCGAGUCCAGCUGGAGCAG
rnacentral:tRNA from 1 species